GUUCGGUCUGGCAGCGUUAUCCAAAUCAAAUAAGUUUGUUGUUGUUAUUUAUAUAUGAAAUUCUCGAUUUUGGCUUGGUACGGACAACUCAGCUUAUAUGGAAACUACCAAUCUUGAUUGUGGGCAUUGUUGUCCCCCAAAAAGACCAGCUGUGCUGAGUGAGCAGAAUAUGGGGCAAAGGUCAUCUCCUCGUCAACUUGCCAGUUUCAUUGAAGAAUACUUCUUACGAAAUCAAGGCACAGAAUCCGGCGGAUUGGAGAAAAUCCUUCGUUUAACCAUGGGAAGUAAAACAAAUAUUGAACGUGAAUAGAGCUCUACUUAUUUAUUUCAAAUAUUUUCACUUCAUUAUGUAAAACAGUACACUAUUGUGGUAUAGUGUUUGUAAAACUAAGUUUAAUAUUAAAAAAAAAGAAAGCUGUGAGAUAUCUAUUUUAUAAGACUUCAAAAAUUUAUGCAAGAAGUUUCUACAGACUAGGUUUUUUUCAAGUUUUUAGGUUUCCGUUUAUUUAAUUUACAGAAAUUAAAUUUCAAUUUGACUUUUAUAAAAAUUUCUUAUCAAUACUAAUAUAUUUCAAAAUAUAAUUCAAGGCUCAGGUCUAAUGCAGUUGGUUUGUGGCUGAGGCUAGUAAAUCUGUUCCUGUAAGCUUUCACCACACACUUCCUUAGCCGGGUUUUUGAUUAAAUAUGAAUGAAGUUCGAA